rnacentral:rRNA from 1 species
UCAGACGAUGCGUCAUGCAUAUCAAUAAGCGGAGGAAAAGAAACUAACAAGGAUUCCCCUAGUAACGGCGAGUGAAGCGGGAAGAGCUCAAAUUUGAAAUCUUAAAGGGUUUCCCUUUACGAAUUGUAGUUUAAAGAAGUGUUUUCUGUUGAGGUUUUGGUAAAAGUUCUUUGGAAUAGGACAUCAUAGAGGGUGAGAAUCCCGUAUUUGACCUUUACUUUCAACUUUGUGAUACACUUUCAAAGAGUCGGAUUGUUUGGGAAUGCAGUCCAAAAUGGGUGGUAAAUUUCAUCUAAAGCUAAAUAUUGGCGAGAGACCGAUAACGAACAAGUACCAGUGAGGGAAAGAUGAAAAGAACUUUGAAAAGAGAGUUAAACAGUACGUGAAAUUGUCAAAAGGGAAGCGUUUGACACCAGUGUUAUUUUUCUGAAAAUCAAUUAAAGAACUGUUUAUGCUAAGUUGUUUAGACUUUAUCAGCUAACUGUUUAGUUUUGAGCUUUUCUUUAAUGCACUUUCCAGUUAACAAGUCAACAUCAAUUUCUUUUGCUGUAAAAAAGCUUGAGGAAGGUGGCUUGAGAUUCGUCUUAAGUGUUUAUAGCCUCUUGCCUAUGCAGUCGGAGAGAUUGAGGUCUGCAGCGUAGAUCCUUCGGGGCUAAAUGCAUUUGUGCUAAGUUAUAGCAUUUUAUAGACAACUUGUUGACUAUGAUUUGUCUUGUAGCUUACUCGCUUAUGUUAUUUUACCUACGCUUAGGAUGUUGACACACGCGCGUGCUCG